rnacentral:rRNA from 1 species
AUUGAACGCUGGCGGCAUGCCUUACACAUGCAAGUCGAACGGCAGCACGGGAGCAAUCCUGGUGGCGAGUGGCGAACGGGUGAGUAAAGUAUCGGAACGUGCCCAGUCGUGGGGGAUAACGUAGCGAAAGUUACGCUAAUACCGCAUACGAUCUAUGGAUGAAAGCGGGGGAUCGCAAGACCUCGCGCGAUUGGAGCGGCCUAUAUCAGAUUAGGUAGUUGGUGGGGUAAAGGCUCACCAGGCCGACGAUCUGUAGCUGGUCUGAGAGGACGACCAGCCACACUGGGACUGAGACACGGCCCAGACUCCUACGGGAGGCAGCAGUGGGGAAUUUUGGACAAUGGGCGAAAGCCUGAUCCAGCCAUGCCGCGUGCAGGAUGAAGGCCUUCGGGUUGUAAACUGCUUUUGUACGGAACGAAAAGGUUUGGCCUAAUAAGCUGAGCUCAUGACGGUACCGUAAGAAGAAGCACCGGCUAACUACGUGCCAGCAGCCGCAGUAA